rnacentral:rRNA from 1 species
CCAAGGAGUUUAUCGUGUGCGCGAGUCAUUGGGCGUUGAAAACCCAAAGGCGCAAUGAAAGUGAAGUGCCACGCAAGUGGCUGAUGUGCGAUCGGUGUUCCACGGAACACGUGCGCAGCAUGGCCCCAUCCUGGCUGCUUGCAGCGGGGUGGAGGAAGAGCGUGCGCGAUGAGACCCGAAAGAUGGUGAACUAUUCCUGAGCAGGAUGAAGCCAGAGGAAACUCUGGUGGAAGUCCGAAGCGAUUCUGACGUGCAAAUCGAUCGUCUGACUUGGGUAUAGGGGCGAAAGACUAAUCGAACC